GAACAUGCAUUCAAAAUUAGAGAUGGAAGAAAUUUACCAGCUGUAACCAAGUACAUCUGGGACAGUACUCGUGAAAAUAUACAGACAGAGCAAGAAAUGCUAAAUAAAAAUCAAGAAAACCAAAAUAGUGCUGAGCCACCCUCACUUCCACUAAGCCAGAGUUCUUGUGUUUUUUUAAAGUGGUCUUAAGUAAAAAUUCUUUCUGUAGUUUAUUCAAAGUUUUCAUUUGGACAUUUUUAGUCCACUUAUUGUAGCUGAUUAUUUUCAGGGAAUUUUGUUGUUGUUGUUGUUGUUGUUGUUGUUGUUACGGUCGCUGACCUCUAGGGGCGCUCCCCAUGUGAGAGAGCUUUUUCUCCUCCUGUGCUCCAGGUCUGCCUCAUAAGCCGCAGCUGAGAUGUGUUGCAGCUCGUCAGCCACUGCGUCUCAAAGUGCCACGCCUUUUUUCCUUCCCUUUUCCCUGGGCUGUGAGCUGCAGUGGUUUGGGCAGCAGGUUGUAGCUGUGUCAAUUUAUGAAACUUGGUGUAACAUUGGUUUUUAAUAUUUGUGAGUAAAGGUGUGCCUUUACAGAGACAAUUGUGAAACAGUGAAAGCAGAUAGAGUGGUCUUCGUUUGUUUUUUGGCUAGACUGGGCUGUUGUGUUUGUCGUUUUGGCCUUGGAGACCCUGACGCAGAGCUUCCCUGGGUCUUAUUUUGGGCCUAAUUGGUUCGUUCGGAAUUGUGAAAUAAACAGUGUUUUAACGACGUCAACUUUGUGGCAGUUAAUAAUUUUCUUUUCACUUUGUGUUUACCCCCCCCCAUCCACCCCAGACAAUACUUUGUUUUUAAGUGGGGUGUAACAGUUGUCAUUUACCACUAAUCUAUGAAUAAGUCAAAAAAAACCCCACCUAACUCAAGUGA